rnacentral:ribozyme from 14 species
AAAUAAAUAAAUUAGAAAAGAAGAAAAAAGGCGAUUAAGAAAGGGGAGAGGAAGGAAAGGAAAGAGAAAGUUUCUGCUCCUGUGUUGCCUGUUUUGGUUGCGUCCCUUUUUUUUUUUUUUUUUUUUUUUUUUUUUU